AAGCUUGCUUCUAUGACGUUAGCGGCGGACGGGUGAGUAACACGUGGGCAACCUGCCUGUAAGACUGGGAUAACUCCGGGAAACCGGAGCUAAUACCGGAUAACAUUUUCUCUUGCAUAAGAGAAAAUUGAAAGAUGGUUUCGGCUAUCACUUACAGAUGGGCCCGCGGUGCAUUAGCUAGUUGGUGAGGUAACGGCUCACCAAGGCAACGAUGCAUAGCCGACCUGAGAGGGUGAUCAGCCACACUGGGACUGAGACACGGCCCAGACUCCUACGGGAGGCAGCAGUAGGGAAUCUUCCGCAAUGGACGAAAGUCUGACGGAGCAACGCCGCGUGAGUGGUGAAGGCUUUCGGGUCGUAAAACUCUGUUGUUAGGGAAGAACAAGUACAAGAGUAACUGCUUGUACCUUGACGGUACCUAACCAGAAAGCCACGGCUAACUACGUGCCAGCAGCCGCGGUAAUACGUAGGUGGCAAGCGUUAUCCGGAAUUAUUGGGCGUAAAGCGCGCGCAGGCGGUUUCUUAAGUCUGAUGUGAAAGCCCACGGCUCAACCGUGGAGGGUCAUUGGAAACUGGGGAACUUGAGUGCAGAAGAGAAAAGCGGAAUUCCACGUGUAGCGGUGAAAUGCGUAGAGAUGUGGAGGAACACCAGUGGCGAAGGCGGCUUUUUGGUCUGUAACUGACGCUGAGGCGCGAAAGCGUGGGGAGCAAACAGGAUUAGGUACCCUGGUAGUCCACGCCGUAAACGAUGAGUGCUAGGUGUUAGAGGGUUUCCGCCCUUUAGUGCUGCAGCUAACGCAUUAAGCACUCCGCCUGGGGAGUACGGUCGCAAGACUGAAACUCAAAGGAAUUGACGGGGGCCCGCACAAGCGGUGGAGCAUGUGGUUUAAUUCGAAGCAACGCGAAGAACCUUACCAGGUCUUGACAUCCUCUGACAACUCUAGAGAUAGAGCGUUCCCCUUAGGGGGACAGAGUGACAGGUGGUGCAUGGUUGUCGUCAGCUCGUGUCGUGAGAUGUUGGGUUAAGUCCCGCAACGAGCGCAACCCUUGAUCUUAGUUGCCAGCAUUUAGUUGGGCACUCUAAGGUGACUGCCGGUGACAAACCGGAGGAAGGUGGGGAUGACGUCAAAUCAUCAUGCCCCUUAUGACCCGGGCUACACACGUGCUACAAUGGAUGGCACAAAGGGCUGCAAGACCGCGAGGUCAAGCCAAUCCCAUAAAACCAUUCUCAGUUCGGAUUGUAGGCUGCAACUCG
rnacentral:rRNA from 1 species